rnacentral:tRNA from 1 species
GCCCGGGUGGUGGAAUUGGUAGACACGCAGGUCUCAGAAGCCUGUGCCCAAAAGCGUGGGGGUUCGAGUCCCCCCUCGGGCACCA